rnacentral:rRNA from 1 species
GACGUAGGGCGCGAGCGUUGUCCGGAUUUAUUGGGCGUAGAGAGCUCGUAGGCGGCUCGUUGCGUCGGCUGUGAAAACCCGCAGCUCAACUGUGGGCUUGCAGCUGAUACGGGCGGGCUGGAGUUCGGUAGGGGAGACUGGAAUUCCUGGUGUAGCGGUGAAAUGCGCAGAUAUCAGGAGGAACACCGGUGGCGAAGGCGGGUCUCUGGGCCGAUACUGACGCUGAGGAGCGAAAGCGUGGGGAGCGAACAGG